rnacentral:rRNA from 1 species
AGCUUGCUACCUGACCUAGCGGCGGACGGGUGAGUAAUGCUUAGGAAUCUGCCUAUUAGUGGGGGACAACAUUCCGAAAGGAAUGCUAAUACCGCAUACGCCCUACGGGGGAAAGCAGGGGAUCUUCGGACCUUGCGCUAAUAGAUGAGCCUAAGUCAGAUUAGCUAGUUGGUGGGGUAAAGGCCUACCAAGGCGACGAUCUGUAGCGGGUCUGAGAGGAUGAUCCGCCACACUGGGACUGAGACACGGCCCAGACUCCUACGGGAGGCAGCAGUGGGGAAUAUUGGACAAUGGGCGAAAGCCUGAUCCAGCCAUGCCGCGUGUGUGAAGAAGGCCUUUUGGUUGUAAAGCACUUUAAGCGAGGAGGAGGCUACUUGGAUUAAUACUCUAGGAUAGUGGACGUUACUCGCAGAAUAAGCACCGGCUAACUCUGUGCCAGCAGCCGCGGUAAUACAGAGGGUGCGAGCGUUAAUCGGAUUUACUGGGCGUAAAGCGUGCGUAGGCGGCUUUUUAAGUCGGAUGUGAAAUCCCUGAGCUUAACUUAGGAAUUGCAUUCGAUACUGGGAAGCUAGAGUAUGGGAGAGGAUGGUAGAAUUCCAGGUGUAGCGGUGAAAUGCGUAGAGAUCUGGAGGAAUACCGAUGGCGAAGGCAGCCAUCUGGCCUAAUACUGACGCUGAGGUACGAAAGCAUGGGGAGCAAACAGGAUUAGGUACCCUGGUAGUCCAUGCCGUAAACGAUGUCUACUAGCCGUUGGGGCCUUUGAGGCUUUAGUGGCGCAGCUAACGCGAUAAGUAGACCGCCUGGGGAGUACGGUCGCAAGACUAAAACUCAAAUGAAUUGACGGGGGCCCGCACAAGCGGUGGAGCAUGUGGUUUAAUUCGAUGCAACGCGAAGAACCUUACCUGGUCUUGACAUAGUAAGAACUUUCCAGAGAUGGAUUGGUGCCUUCGGGAACUUACAUACAGGUGCUGCAUGGCUGUCGUCAGCUCGUGUCGUGAGAUGUUGGGUUAAGUCCCGCAACGAGCGCAACCCUUGUCAUUAGUUGCUACAUUCAGUUGAGCACUCUAAUGAGACUGCCGGUGACAAACCGGAGGAAGGUGGGGAUGACGUCAAGUCCUCAUGGCCCUUAUAGGUGGGGCUACACACGUCAUACAAUGGCUGGUACAGAGGGUUGCCAACCCGCGAGGGGGAGCUAAUCCCAUAAAACCAGUCGUAGUCCGGAUCGCAGUCUGCAACUCGACUGCGGAAGUCG